GACGAACGCUGGCGGCGUGCUUAACACAUGCAAGUCGAACGGAAAGGCCCUGCUUUUGUGGGGUGCUCGAGUGGCGAACGGGUGAGUAACACGUGAGUAACCUGCCCUUGACUUUGGGAUAACUUCAGGAAACUGGGGCUAAUACCGGAUAGGAGCUCCUGCUGCAUUGUGGGGGUUGGAAAGUUUCGGCGGUUGGGGAUGGACUCGCGGCUUAUCAGCUUGUUGGUGGGGUAGUGGCUUACCAAGGCUUUGACGGGUAGCCGGCCUGAGAGGGUGACCGGCCACAUUGGGACUGAGAUACGGCCCAGACUCCUACGGGGGGCAGCAGUGGGGAAUAUUGCACAAUGGGCGGAAGCCUGAUGCAGCAACGCCGCGUGCGGGAUGACGGCCUUCGGGUUGUAAACCGCUUUCGCCUGUGACGAAGCGUGAGUGACGGUAAUGGGUAAAGAAGCACCGGCUAACUACGUG
rnacentral:rRNA from 1 species